rnacentral:rRNA from 1 species
GCUCAACCGAGGAAGUGCUUCGAAAACUGGUAAACUUGAGUGCAGAAGAGGAAAGUGGAACUCCAUGUGUAGCGGUGGAAUGCGUAGAUAUAUGGAAGAACACCAGUGGCGAAGGCGGCUUUCUGGUCUGUAACUGACGCUGAGAUUCGAAAGCAUGGGUAGCAAACAGGAUUAGAUACCCUGGUAGUCCAUGCCGUAAACGAUGAGUGCUAAGUGUUGGAGGGUUUCCGCCCUUCAGUGCUGCAGCUAACGCAUUAAGCACUCCGCCUGGGGAGUACGAUCGCAAGAUUGAAACUCAAAGGAAUUGACGGGGGCCCGCACAAGCGGUGGAGCAUGUGGUUUAAUUCGAAGCAACGCGAAGAACCUUACCACGUCUUGACAUACCAUGAAAAGCUUAGAGAUAAGUCUUUCCCUUCGGGGACAUGGAUACAGGUGGUGCAUGGUUGUCGUCAGCUCGUGUCGUGAGAUGUUGGGUUAAGUCCCGCAACGAGCGCAACCCUUAUUAUCAGUUGCCAGCAUUCAGUUGGGCACUCUGGUGAGACUGCCGGUGAUAAACCGGAGGAAGGUGGGGACGACGUCAAAUCAUCAUGCCCCUUAUGACCUGGGCUACACACGUGCUACAAUGGUCGGUACAACG